CGCGGGAUGGUGUAAUGGCAGCACACCAGGAUCUGAGCCUGGAGACGCCGGUCCGACUCCGGCUCCCGCAACCA
rnacentral:tRNA from 1 species